GGCGAACCUGUGGCGCGGGGCGUCAUUCGUCUGUCGAAAAUCAUCGUGACAAGGUGCGUCAUCCGUCGAGUGCGAAAUUUUAACUACGCAAUUAUCGUUCUGUGAAUUGUAAUUCUUGUGUUCUUAUUGUGACUUGGGAAGGAAGCAUGCAUAUCUCACGACAAUUUAUAGCCAUAUCAUGACAUAUCAGAUAUUAACUCGCAAGAAGCAUCUUAAAUAAAUACGAGAAAGAUUUGGAUUACAUCUGAAUGAAAGAAAAUGGCUAGAAGUCAGAUGCAAUAGUAAGUUUGGAAGACAAUACCGGAAGGCGAAAUGUGCCUAAUUGUUUUCUUCCCAUCUAUUCAUCUUCUCUUUCAUCAUGCCAGAAGCUAUUAUGUAUUGCAAAAACGGGGCAAGAUGUGUCUCCAUCUUCACGGAUUCAUCAUAAUUGUUUCUUUUCUCUUCGUUGGACCGCGAACGAUUUAUCAACGGGGCGAGGGAGGGAGGAUAGAUGGAUGUUAUCCUUUUUAAAUCCCACAGUUCAAACAUGGAUUCUUCUUUUUAGCUUUAGAAGUUUUGCAUUUUAGAUUGUACGGUAUAAUUAAGAUUUUUUUUUAAAAAUUUUACUCGUAUUUCGUUAUGAAUUUAAAGGUUUCAGUGUUAUUUAUUGUUCGAAUAUUAUAUCGUUGAAAGAGUGGAGUAAAUAGUAGCGAACGAGAUUUGUUGAAU